rnacentral:rRNA from 1 species
CGUAGUGAACUGCGGAAGGAUCAUUA